UUUUCACAUACAGCCGGAUUUCAAACACGCCUGAUUGGGCGUAAAGUGGUUAUAAUGAAAGACACAAGAGAGGCUUGCUCCGGAGGGGAGAAAGUGGAUCGAUGGGGGAUCAAUUGCGCUCUUCGCUCUCAUUUAAGGACCGAUCGAUGGCUGUCCUUGUCGCUUCACCGGGACACUGGUGCUGUCAAUACCCCUUGGCUGCCCACCUCCCCCCAGUAGCCGAGCGGCGUCUUCUGAGACACAACCCGACCAAGCACGCCCGCCCUCCAAGUUUCCACAGAGGACCCCUUGAAUCUGGUGAAACCCAGGGCAGCCUUUGAUCCAAACAGUCCCGGGGUCUGCUAUAGAGCAGGCAGAG
ensembl:lncRNA